ACUCCUACGGGAGGCAGCAGUGGGGAAUAUUGCACAAUGGGGGAAACCCUGAUGCAGCCAUGCCGCGUGUGUGAAGAAGGCCUUCGGGUUGUAAAGCACUUUCAGUAGGGAGGAAGGUAGUGUAGUUAACACCUGCAUUAUUUGACGUUACCUACAGAAGAAGCACCGGCUAACUCCGUGCCAGCAGCCGCGGUAAUACGGAGGGUGCGAGCGUUAAUCGGAAUUACUGGGCGUAAAGCGCAUGCAGGCGGCCUGUUAAGUCAGAUGUGAAAGCCCGGGGCUUAACCUCGGAAUUGCAUUUGAAACUGGCAGGCUAGAGUCUUGUAGAGGGGGGUAGAAUUUCAGGUGUAGCGGUGAAAUGCGUAGAGAUCUGAAGGAAUACCAGUGGCGAAGGCGGCCCCCUGGACAAAGACUGACGCUCAGAUGCGAAAAGCGUGGGGAGCAAAACAGGAUUAGAUACCCUGGUAGCACAGAG
rnacentral:rRNA from 1 species